rnacentral:rRNA from 1 species
CGUGUAGGCGGUUUGUUAAGUCUGAUGUGAAAGCCCCGGGCUCAACCUGGGAAGUGCAUUGGAAACUGGCAGACUGAAUACGGGAGAGGGUAGUGGAAUUCCUAGUGUAGGAGUGAAAUCCGUAGAUAUUAGGAGGAACACCGGUGGCGAAGGCGGCUACCUGGACCGAUAUUGACGCUGAGACGCGAAAGCGUGGGGAGCAAACA